rnacentral:rRNA from 1 species
AUUGAACGCUGGCGGCAGGCCUAACACAUGCAAGUCGAACGAGUGGCGGACGGGUGAGCAAUGUCUGGGAAACUGCCUGAUGGAGGGGGAUAACUACUGGAAACGGUAGCUAAUACCGCAUACAUUCGGAUGUGCCCAGAUGGGAUUAGUUAGUGGGAGGGGUAACGGCUCACCUAGGCGACGAUCCCUAGCUGGUCUGAGAGGAUGACCAGCCACACUGGAACUGAGACACGGUCCAGACUCCUACGGGAGGCAGCAGGGGGGAAUAUUGCACAAUGGGCGCAAGCCUGAUGCAGCCAUGCCGCGUGUAUGAAGAAGGCCUUCGGGUUGUAAAGUACUUUCAGUGGGGAGGCGUUACCGGCAGAAGAAGCACCGGCUAACUCCGUGCCAGCAGCCGCGGUAAUUC